GCUGAAGGAGAUCUCAGGGAGGAGCUGUGCCGGCUCCAUGUCCUUAACCUGUUUGCAGAAGGGCAACGGAGGGCGGAGCGAAGGGAAAGGCAACAUACCCUUCGUCCGAAAUGGAACACCAGGUGGCAGGAAGUGGGCAGGAGGCCUUUGAAGAUGACCCCUGGUCUCCGCGUUGGGAUGGUCUCGGCGAUCGAUUCAGCCAGAGAUGGCAGGGAGGGGAGCCAGGUGCCCCCAGAGGGUCUUCAGACCACGCAGAUCUAUUAUGGGCGAGGAGGAGAGAGUCGGCUGGGGCCCAGCCCCACUGCUCCCAGUCAUAUCACUGUGGACACAGCCAGAGUCAACUGGCUGCAUCCUAACAAGCAGGCAAACACUGAGAACAGUCUGGUGCACAACAAACUCAACAGGCUCUGCCUCCAUACUGUAAGCUUUAGGAAGGGCUUCCACUGCAGACUGCUGUCAAAUCUGUAUAUAAAACAUUGCAUAACACUGAAUAAUUGGUGUGAGCCCAUACAUGCUAGUAUGCUACGUCUGACACAUGUAACACAUGCAGGUCAGCGAAGAGCAUUUGGAAAUGAAAGAAUCAGAGACACAGAAAUGAGCUUGUUUCGUAUAUUAAUAUAUUUAUUUUCUUACAACCACAGAUUGCAGUUGAGUGACUUGAGAAACUGUGGUGCAGAAGUUGUGGGCUGAAAUGAUAAAUCAACAACAAAAACAAGAUUCAAUAAUACCACAUAACAGAAAGAGCGAGGAAUCAUCAAAAAAGGGACACGAACAAAAAGAAAGCACAAAAGCAGAAAAUUAAAUCAGCAGAUGUUUGUGUGCAAGUGUGCACACGUGAUUGUGGCGAGCUGCUAAGUGAUCUGGUAAAUUGCCAACAUUACACUGAAUUUGUCAGAAAGAAAAUAUCAGCAAAUACUGAACAGCCAUUGUAUGUUUUGGGAUAGUUUUGCCAGUUAACACUAAUGCAAAAACAUCCAGUGAUAAAGCUGAAAUAAUGAGAGGAAUCAGUAGGUAGAUUUGCACGUCUAUGAAUCAGGCUUCCAUUCAUAGUGUUCAUCUAGGGCAGCUCCAGAAAUGCGCGGGCUGCUUUGUAUUUUGGCCAGCUUUGGAGGAGGCAAGGAAAUGAAAGCUGGGCACUGGGAGAAGGAUGGCUGCAAGAAAUGAAGACGUGUCUGAUUUCCUCAGCAACCAAUGAUGUUGCAGCGCUCUGUACUCUCUGCCCUCUGAUAGGGGUCGCACCUGAUUGUACUGUGCUCCUUCACCAAUCAAAGCCUGCAGGAAGUGAGGCAUUUUUUUUCUCCAUUGUGCUCCCAUGGCCAGGGUUGGGACUCACUAAUGGCUCGACGGCCUCACUGUGCAGGCUGCUGGCGAAGAGAAACCAGGGGGAGAAGGAAAAGGAAGAAGAAGAAGAAGCAGGAGGAGGAGAACGGGGAAGAGAGGGAGGAAAAAUGAGUCGCUAAAGAGCAAGGGGUUGCCCUGAAGGUUAACAUCUCAAUCAUGAGGGGACAAUGCUCUCUAGUCAAAUGGUUUCGGCUUCUUGAAAGUCAAGAUGAAGCCACAGGGCACAACAGUGUCAAAGAGGCAGCCGGGAGAUCGGCUCUCUGCACCGCAGGAUGACCAGGACACGUGUGUUUGAGGUGGCAGGUUGCUGUGUUUACGUGUGCACGCCACACACACCCCCACCUUGCGUGCUGGAAACAGCUAUAACCUCACAACAUACAGAAGGACUGGGGGUGGGAUAUCAGUUUCACUUUAUUUUUUUCUGACAAAUGACACUCUGACAGUUGGAAAAAAUGUUGGGGUCCCUGAACAGAUUUCUCAGUUACAAAAAUAAAAUGUGUUGGAUCAGACAAAGACAGACAUUUUACAUUCUACUUUUGAACCCCAAUGAGAGCACUGACAAAUGCCACCCCACCCCCACUCCGUCUGUGCCAUGAUUGUUUUUUCUCUCCAGAAAUGUCAUAUAGUUAAGAGGUGAUAAUUCUAUAUGGCACAAACAGACACUGACUUCUUCCAAGUGUACAUAGCAUAUAGGCUGACAGAUUGAGAUGGUGUAACAUGUCUUUGCAUCACUCUAAAUAGGCAUGCGAGCUUUAAACAUUCUUUAUAUACCCUGAGAUUCCAUUGGAAACCUUCUGAAAUGGAAAAAAGAACUCAAAUGCAUUGCACUGGAGGUGAAAAAAAAUGUUCAGAGGUUAAAAAUAGCGCAGACCUCAGUGAUACGUGAAAAACUGUAGUACUCUUAUGUGUGUGCAGGUGUAGCCUACAUUCACGAAAACUCUCGAAAUGCAGAAAACUGCAUUGAUACACAUCGUACUGAAUCCCCUGAGGGUUGAUGUUAACGCUUAGUCUGCAGCGCAACAGAUCCUAUGUUAAAUGCACAUUUAAAGAAACGCUUAUGUCAGUUUCUAUGAAUCUUGUGAUGCAUUUUUUUUGCUUCCAACAGUUUAAAGAGAAACUUUUGUCAGAUUUAUGUCACGUCAACACUUGAAUUUAGCGUCUUUCAGAGCCCUUAUGUUUUAAGUUAGGUUAAACAUGAAAUGCAAAACUUAAUUGUAGCUGCUGCUUUGGUGAUUUACUCUAUAAUGAAGAAUUGUAGGUAAGUGAGAGUCGGUGGCUUUUUAAAAUUCAAAUAAGACAAACACUUCUGAAACACCUCCACAUUGAAACAUCCUCUUUCACAGAUGAAAAUUAAGCCAUGCUCUUUUGCAGACUGGUAGUAGUGUGAGUGGAGCCAAAUGAUCUGCAAAUGAGGCGAAACGUUUAAGUAGCUUAGGGGACUGCAGGAAGUCAACCAUGAAACACGUGGUUCUUCCAAAGCAGUGUAAAAAUUAAUACUGGUGCUCAAAAAUACCUAAAACUAGAAAUAUAACUGGACAAUAGGAGGUCAAAAUACAGUGAGUGGAUUUGAGUUAAUGGGUCAGUGCAACCAAAUUACUUAUUUUCUCACUAACAUAAAUCUAAACAUACAGAAAGUUGGGGUUUUGUUGUUUAGUAUUUGGAGAUUUCUGUCUUUCUCUUAAAUAUUCACUGAGAGGUCUGUUCAAGAACCAGUGUAACAAGAGCAUCGUUUCCGUUCAAUGAUUUGGGUGAAAGGACUGUUUAAAGCUCAGGUAGGCAUUUUUCCCAUAAUACCCUGUCAGGAUAUUGUGACUCAAGUAGUCUGAGAGAGAAUUUUGCACUUCCUCUUUGUUCUUUGGAAAAUCUAACCUGAAAUGUCAGUCACAGGGCGUUUCAUGCAGAUCAUUUGAGAAAGUAUAAAAAGCAACAAGUCUACAGUGGAAAUAGGAGGUGUGGUGCAAUGGGACAAACAGAGGGAUCAAAACCUGAUACAAGCUAGAAGUGAAUAUAAGGCUGAUUACUUUUGUGUAAUUGAAGCUGCUGAGGGGCUGUUUGUUGUUGUUGUUUGUUUGUUGAUCAGAGCUUUCCAGAUUACUGCCUACUGCAGCUUUAAGACAUAGUUUGCAUGAUGGCAGCAAGAACUAAAGAAGUAACGUAACCUGGAUGAAGAACUUGCCUGAGUCACUUCAAAUUCAAAGUAACGUCAACACAAAUUAAAAUGAUGAUUUGAAAGUGUAUUAAAUGGUAGCAGAGGCA
ensembl:lncRNA